rnacentral:lncRNA from 1 species
UGCAUGCUUCAUACUGACUAAUUCCCUCCUGUUUGCUCCUUUUAUCUUGGGCUCAGAGAAAGAUUGCAGCUCACUCUUACAACUUAGGGGCAGCUUCCUUCUCUCCUUCGCAAAAGGGCUGUGCCAGCAUUGGGGAUUUAGAACAAAGUGUGUCCUUGGGAAGACGUGGUGUGUACUGCAAAUUUCUGUGACGCCUGGGAAAAAGGAAAUGUGCGUUACAGAGCUGGGCAGCGCCACAUGUCCUGUGACAAGCCGGCGACUUGAAAAAUUUAAUUCAGGAAGAGACGCAAAGAGGCCAAAUCGAAAGAGGAACUGGGCCUAUCGAUGUUCAGAGCAGGAAAACCGAAGAAGUUACCAACCAUCCCCAAGUUAAAAAUCAUGUGGGGCUGGAAAAUAUGUCGCCUGCUGCAUUUGUCAUUGAAAUUCACAAUCUUGUUUGCUGUUUAUCUUGAGGCUUGGGGAGCUCGCCUGCUGGUUAGGAAAAAGGAGGCCAGGUCUAGGAAGAAAUAAGAAAGGGAGGAUUAGAGCCCAGAGUGAAUGGGAGGUGUAAAUAAUACGCGGGCACCUGACAAUCUGGGCAAAGAAAUGAGAGACAAAGCCAAUACCCCACGCCAGAAAUCCUAAAAACUUAAGUGGGAAGCCCACACGUAAGAAAAAUGUCUCCAAGAAAAAAGGAAAAUAAAAUCCCAGAGGAUCUGUUUCCUCUGUGGUGCUGGUUCAUGGAAUAUGUAAAGGUUGGUUUUGCCUCGGUGCGCACGUAAGCAGCACUGGAUUCAAAGGAACGGGCUUCAGGAUAUGCUUUCAAGGGCUCACUCCAGGCCAGCUUGAGCCUCUGGGCAGAAUGCUUGAGCUUUCCUCCAAAAAGG